rnacentral:rRNA from 1 species
GAUGAACGCUGGCGGCGUGCUUAACACAUGCAAGUCGAACGGGAAGCGUAUCUUCGGAUGGGCUUCUAGUGGCGAACGGGUGCGUAACACGUAGGAACCUGCCCCAGAGAGGGGAUAACAGCUCGAAAGGGUUGCUAAUCCCGCAUGACCUCGGCGACGAGGAAAGCUCCGGCGCUCUGGGAUGGGCCUGCGGCCUAUCAGGUAGUUGGUGGGGUAACGGCCCACCAAGCCGACGACGGGUAGGGGGCGUGAGAGCGUGGCCCCCCCACACGGGAACUGAGACACGGUCCCGACGCCUACGGGCGGCAGCAGUGAGGAAUCUUGCACAAUGGGGGCAACCCUGAUGCAGCGACGCCGCGUGCGGGAUGAAGGCCUUCGGGUCGUAAACCGCUUUUUCUGGGGGACGAGGAAGGACGGUACCCCAGGAAUAAGUCCCGGCUAACUACGU